rnacentral:rRNA from 1 species
GACGAACGCUGGCGGCGUGCCUAAUACAUGCAAGUUGAGCGCUGAAGGUUGGUACUUGUACCAACUGGAUGAGCAGCGAACGGGUGAGUAACGCGUGGGGAAUCUGCCUUUGAGCGGGGGACAACAUUUGGAAACGAAUGCUAAUACCGCAUAAAAACUUUAAACACAAGUUUUAAGUUUGAAAGAUGCAAUUGCAUCACUCAAAGAUGAUCCCGCGUUGUAUUAGCUAGUUGGUGAGGUAAAGGCUCACCAAGGCGAUGAUACAUAGCCGACCUGAGAGGGUGAUCGGCCACAUUGGGACUGAGACACGGCCCAAACUCCUACGGGAGGCAGCAGUAGGGAAUCUUCGGCAAUGGACGAAAGUCUGACCGAGCAACGCCGCGUGAGUGAAGAAAGGUUUUCGGAUCGUAAAAACUUCUG